rnacentral:rRNA from 1 species
UACGUAGGGGGCAAGCGUUGUCCGGAAUCAUUGGGCGCAAAGAGCGUGUAGGCGGCUCGGUAAGUCCGCUGUGAAAGUCCAGGGCUCAACCCUGGGAUGCCGGUGGAUACUGUCGGGCUCGAGUCCGGAAGAGGAGUGUGGAAUUCCUGGUGUAGCGGUGAAAUGCGCAGAUAUCGGGAAGAACACCCGUGGCGAAGGCGGCUCUCUGGGACGGUACUGACGCUGAGACGCGAAAGCGUGGGGAGCGAACAGG